rnacentral:rRNA from 1 species
UACGAAGGUCGCAAGCGUUAUCCGGAAUUAUUGGGCGUAAAGCGUCUGUAGGUUGUUUGUCAAGUUUCAAAUUAAAACUCUGAGCUCAACUCAGAGAUCGUUUGAAAAACUGUCAAACUAGAGAAUGGGAGAGGCAAGCGGAAUGGCCGGUGUAGUAGUAAUAUGCAUUAAUAUCGGCUAGAACACCAAAUGCGAAGGCAGCUUGCUAGAACAUUUCUGACACUGAGAGACGAAAGCGUGGGUAGCGAAUGGG